rnacentral:sRNA from 2 species
UUAACCAAUCAGCCGAAUUCCCGUAAAGUCGGGAAGCGGGGGAACCAGUAGUGGGUGAAUUGAUCUUGCAUCAAAGGGAUCAUAGGGGACCUUCAACCGAAUCCUUAAGCUAACCUCGCAGGCACCAGGAGGAAUCA